AUUGAACGCUGGCGGCAUGCCUUACACAUGCAAGUCGAACGGUAACAGGUUAAGCUGACGAGUGGCGAACGGGUGAGUAAUGUAUCGGAACGUGCCCAGUCGUGGGGGAUAACUACUCGAAAGAGUGGCUAAUACCGCAUACGACCUGAGGGUGAAAGCGGGGGACCGUAAGGCCUCGCGCGAUUGGAGCGGCCGAUAUCAGAUUAGCUAGUUGGUGGGGUAAAAGCCCACCAAGGCGACGAUCUGUAGCUGGUCUGAGAGGACGACUAGCCACACUGGGACUGAGACACGGCCCAGACUCCUACGGGAGGCAGCAGUGGGGAAUUUUGGACAAUGGACGCAAGUCUGAUCCAGCCAUGCCGCGUGCGGGAAGAAGGCCUUCGGGUUGUAAACCGCUUUUGUCAGGGAAGAAACGAGUUUCUCUAAUACAGAGACUUAAUGACGGUACCUGAAGAAUAAGCACCGGCUAACUACGUGCCAGCCGCCGCUGUAA
rnacentral:rRNA from 1 species